AACGAACGCUGGCGGCGCGCUUAACACAUGCAAGUCGAACGAGAAGCUGUAGCAAUACAGUUGUAAAGUGGCAAACGGGUGAGUAAUGCGUGGGUAAUCUACCCUAGGGUGGGGAAUAACUCCUCGAAAGGGGAGCUAAUGCCGACAUGUGCGCCAUUCUCGCAAGGGAGUGAUGGAAAGCCGUACCGUGGGUGCGGCGCCCAAGGAUGAGCUCACGUCCUANCAGCUUGUUGGCGGGGUAACGGCCCACCAAGGCUGCGACGGGUAGCUGGUCUGAGAGGACGACCAGCCACACUGGCACUGCGACACGGGCCAGACUCCUACGGGAGGCAGCAGUGAGGAAUAUUGCGCAAUGGACGACAGUCUGACGCAGCGACGCCGCGGUGGGGGAGUGAAGG
rnacentral:rRNA from 1 species